UUGUUGAUCGUUCAAAGCGCCU
rnacentral:siRNA from 1 species